rnacentral:misc_RNA from 1 species
GGAUCUAGGAGUUGACCCUCCAUCGUCUCGUGAUCCACCAUUUCCUCUUGCAGUUCCUGCGUCAAAUAGUCUUGCUAACGCUUUAGUAGAUGCACCAUCUGGUUUCUCUAAAGGCAAGAAUCGCAAUGGCGGGUUGGGUUUGUCUGAUAUCAUUACUCAGAUCCAGGCCUCAAAGGAUUCAACUAAAUCAUCCUAUCGAGGCAGUGCGGUUCAUGAAUCUUUUUCAGGGCUUAAUUCUUAUUCGGCAAGAAGGGCUUCUGAAAAGCUACCAGAUAGAGGUUUUGUUGAAGAUAAUGCUGAACUAAGGGAAGGCAGGCGAUUAAUGAACUCACACGUUCACAGACAAUACAUAGAGUCGCCAUACAAAGAUGCUAACUUUAGGGAUUCUCACUAUAAUCAUGUUCCAAAUUUUCAACGUCCUUUAUCAAGAAAGAACACAGCAGGAAGAAUGUCUUCUAGCAAGAGAAGGAGCUUUGAUGACAGUCAGCUCCCGCUAGGAGAAAUGUCAAGUUAUGUCGAGGGACCUGCCUCACUAAGUGACGCAUUAAGUGAGGGUCUCAGUUCUAGUUCAGAUUGGAAUGCUAGGGUUGCUGCAUUUAAUUAUGUCAAGUCUUUGCUACAGCAGGGGCCUAGAGGUUUUCCAGAAAUCAUGCAGAGCUUUGAGAAGGUCAUGAAAUUGUUUUUCCAGCACCUUGAUGAUCCCCAUCAUAAAGUUGCACAGGCUGCUCUAUCAACCCUUGCAGAUCUUAUUCCAGCUUGUAGAAAACCUUUUGAAAGUUACAUGGAGAGGAUUUUGCCUCAUGUUUUUUCACGGCUAAUUGAUCCCAAGGAAUCAGUGAGGCAGCCUUGCUCAACUACAUUAGAGAUUGUAAGCAAAACAUAUGGUAUCGACUCCCUUUUGCCAGCUUUGCUCCGUUCAUUGGAUGAACAACGUUCUCCCAAGGCCAAACUUGCUGUAAUUGAGUUCUCAAUUGGCUCUUUUAACAAGCAUCCUUCAAAUUCUGAAGGUGCUGGAAAUAGUGGCAUCCUCAAGUUAUGGCUCGCUAAGUUGACACCAUUGGUCUAUGAUAAAAACACCAAACUGAAAGAAGCGGCUAUUUCAUGCAUUAUAUCAGUGUACACACACUUUGAUGGAACAGGGGUUUUGAAUUUUAUUCUUAGCUUAUCAGUUGAAGAACAAAAUUCUUUAAGACGAGCUCUGAAACAGUAUACCCCUCGUAUAGAAGUGGAUUUGAUGAAUUUUUUGCAAAAUAAAAAAGAAAGACAACGUUCCAAGUACGAUCCAUAUGACGUUACUGGCACAUCUUCUGAAGAGGGAUAUGUAGGAGCUUCAAAGAAAAAUAAUUUAUUUGGAAGGUAUUCUGCUGGUUCAGUUGAUAGUGAUGGUGCCAGAAAGUGGAAUUCUGUUCCAGACCCGACCUAUAUGACUAGUUCUGUAGGUCACUCAUUGUCGGAUGAUACUCAAGACUUCUAUCAUGGUGUUGAAGCUGGUGCCAACUCUGAUUUUCCUGUUUCAAAAGCCAAGGAUUCAAAACUUUCCGCAAGUGGCAGUGAUGGUAUAUGGGCUAAUUCACAGAAAAGCAAUGAUGACAGCUUAAACAUGGAGCACACUUCCACAACCCGUCUGGAGGUUAAUGGGUUAGUUGACUCGGAGCAUCUAGCUGCAGCUGAUAAUGAAUCUGAUUUGGGACUCAAUCACCUGAAACUUUCUGCUCUGAAGAUAAACUUAACUCCAGCAACUGAACCAAGCAUUCCCCAGAUUCUUCAUUCAAUUUGUAAUGGCAAUGAUGGAAGUCCUGCUGCCAACAAGCAUGAUGCACUUCAACAACUAGUUGAAGCUGUUACCAAAGAUCAAUCCAUAUGGAGCAAGUACUUCAAUCAGAUAUUGACUGCUGUACUCGAGGUGCUAGAUGAUUCUGCGUCAUCAAUAAGAGAACUUGCCCUAUCUCUGAUAGUUGAAAUGCUGAAGAAUCAGAGAGAUGCUAUGGAGGAUUCAG